ACGACCUUACUUGAACAAAAUCUAUUCUAUAGGCUCGUACCACUGUAUCCUUGAUUUCUAAGGAGGCAAAAAACCAAGUCUGGUUGAUGAAGCAUGACCAUGUGACCAGAGCAUGAUUAACAAUCAUCCAUGGUUCCUUGAACUGUGGUACAGUAGAUGAUCGUUCUUAUAUCUGCCCAGAUCUGAGAUAGUCUCAUGGCUGUCUGCCAGACU
rnacentral:snoRNA from 2 species